CUACGUGCCAGCAGCCGCGGUAAUACGUAUGUCGCAAGCGUUAUCCGGAAUUAUUGGGCAUAAAGGGCAUCUAGGCGGCCAGAUAAGUCUGGGGUGAAAACUUGCGGCUCAACCGCAAGCCUGCCCUGGAAACUAUGUGGCUAGAGUACUGGAGAGGUGGACGGAACUGCACGAGUAGAGGUGAAAUUCGUAGAUAUGUGCAGGAAUGCCGAUGAUGAAGAUAGUUCACUGGACGGUAACUGACGCUGAAGUGCGAAAGCUAGGGGAGCAAACAGGAUUAGAUACCCUGGUAGUCCUAGCUGUAAACGAUGAUUACUGGGUGUGGGCAUGAAGAGUGUCCGUGCCGAAGCUAAUGCGAUAAGUAAUCCGCCUGGGGAGUACGGCCGCAAGGCUGAAACUCAAAGGAAUUGACGGGGACCCGCACAAGCGGUGGAGCAUGUGGUUUAAUUCGACGCAACGCGAAGAACCUUACCAGGUCUUGACAUCCCUCUGACCGCUCUAGAGAUAGAGUUUUC
rnacentral:rRNA from 1 species